GAGCGCCAUCAGAGUUCCGUGGAAUCCCAAGGAGUAAAGACGCACAUAUCAACAAGCUUUUUCUUUUCUUUUUCGCUACGUUUUUCAACCGUGUUGUGUGUGUGUAUGGAUAUUUUUCGUGUGCAUUGAAUUUAUACUUAUUUGCUAGUUGGGGUUUUGCUUCAAGUGUUGGCACCCUCAGGCGAUCGUUUUUAGUGUGUCGUCUGUUUUCGAGUCCACACAAGUUCAUCACCGGCAAUUUUCGUCUCUUUUUUUCGGGAGAAUGCGGUGAUUUGGUGAGCCGCCUGAUAUUGUCACGGCAGCCGAAAACAACGGCCACGUAGUUAGCACCCCACCCUCGACGGCCAGCCGAGACGACGGAGUGCCUUGCGUACGGCUGGCCAGCCGCCUCACUACCUUUCUCAGUUGCUCGGCCCACGUGGGCGCUUCACGUCACGUCCACUACCCCAGUCUCAACGCCUGUCUCAUCCACCAGGGCCGGCCCUCAACUUUCCAGUGUCGCACGGUCCACUUUGGUUACGCAAUUCCCGUCGUCGUGCACAGAUAUUGUCGGGCUCCCGGUGAAAUCGUCUUGGAUAGUCAUGCCCAUCUCGAUCCGGCCACUGCCUCCUAUCUGUUAGAGCAGCACCCGGAUUUAGUGGCCAUCGCCACCACCCUCCGCAGUAGCCCAGUCAAACCCGCCAGCGGACCAUCGUCCGUCAUUCAAGCCGCCAAACUGGCCGCUUUCAAGUCGGUCGAGGUGCGGACUCAUCACCGCUCCGGCUCGCAGACGCCGCUCAUCCAGACGGACGUGCCGUCGCCCAGUAAAAUGGCGGUGGAUCCCAACGAACUCUACGACCAGCUCAUGCGGCAGAACUCUGCCGAGCAGGACAUCCAGGCCAUCGCCAAACAAAUUUCCGAUCACGCCGAAGCCAUUUAUCAAACGUGGAAAUCCAAAGGAUUGACUCCCAAUGAACUGCUCCAUUUGCAUUCGGCGGAGACGGCGGCAGAGACUCCGGGCGGCGACGUGCCGGCUGCCCCAUCCUUCCGGCAAAUGAGAACAUCGGUGGAGAGACGCAGCCAUUCGACUCCGCAUGCAGAGAGACCCAAAUCCGGAUCGUCUCUCUCUCCUGUCGAACUGCUGGCCAGCCCGCAGCUGGAUGCUACCCUCGAACAACUUGUCAACAGCUUUGUGCACGAAGAUAAGGCCCGGUUAGCCGCCAGAGCGCGCACUGUAUCUCCAUCGCCGGUCGGCAUCCAUGUUGUCCAGCAUCAACCGACGUCGGCGGCGGCUUCGACCAUCCAGUCGGCCCUUAAACGUUUUGAAAUGAAGGGCCUGAAUUACGAAUCGGCUCGCAGCCGACAAAGCCAGCCGGAACCGCCAGUUGUAUCCGAGUUGGGCAGCGCAGUCAGAACGUCGCCUUCUUUCCAGGAAGCCGUACAGUCGACUCAUUUGAACCGGACAUCGCCUGGGCAGUCGCCAGUGGCAGAGCCAUCCGGGACGGUGAAAAGCCGAGCUCAAAGAUUCGCCACCCGCAUAGAACUGGCGAACGCGUCUCACGUUUCGCCCAGUUGGCCGGUCAAGCGAGCCGUUUCGCCCGGCCCAGUUCAAUAUCACAAGGUAACUGUCGUGGCCGAAGUGGCAGCUCACUCGCCAGUAGCAGCAGCAGCAGCAGCUACGGCGACGACUAAAUCGUCGUCCAGCACGAGCGAAGUUGACAAAGAAGAAGAGAAAUUAAUCAACGCCCUCAAAACCGGUCAGGUUAUUGACGAAAUCGCAGUUCCUACAUCUCCUACACCCAGCGAUAAUUUCCACCAGUCGAUGAUCAAAAAGACGAGAGAGCGACACCAACGGAACGCUCCGGCUGCUGCCCGAGUCGCUAGCAGCAGCGGCAACGCCGAGGAAGAACUGGAAUCGCUGGUGGGCCGGUUGAAGAUUAUCGAACCGCCAGUGAAAUCCUUGCCAGUCAGUCGAGAGAGCAGCCCGGGUCCCGCCAUCAUGUUGGGCGUUCGUGACGGUUCGCCUUCACGUUCCACCUCUCCGCGGUCGGUCAAACUCUCUGAAACUGUGCCCAUUGCCGGCGUGUCGACCGUCGACUACGCCAAAGUGCGCUUCCAGGCCGCUCAGGCCCAUCCGCUCACCCAGCAAAGACUGGAGGAUUCCAGGACGAUCGGCAAAGCCCAGAAUUCGCCUCAACCGAAUGUCGUCUCGGAAACCCGCAGCCGUUUCGAAGGAUCGACUCAAUCAACCCGUCCAGCCGUCAACACUUGCGCCGUACCCUGGCGAUCCGGCGUCCAGUCCAACGAAUGGUCACCCGUUCGCCCACCGGGCCCUGUCAACCUGGGCGAUGAAUUGCAAUCGGCCCUGCAGCAAUCGCAGUCGGCCGCCGGCUCUUCCGGCUUGAGUCUGGAAGCUCUUCGGCGCAUGAAGACGCGUAAAAUGCGCAAAUCGCCGGAACCGCAGCCAACGGGAUCCGGAUCUAAUACGGGCAGUCCAACUUCCUCUCCGCUGCCUCAUCCGGAAUUGACCGUCCAGCAGAAGCAGCACCUCCGCGAACGCAAUCUCCAGCAGCAGGGAUCCAGUGGUCAUCACGUUGGAUCGGUUGGAUUGGCCGUCCAGUACACUUCGACGGGCAUACCGAUCCGGCCGUUUUUGACCCGAGGUUCCGUCGCCGAAAGGGUCCUGAUUUUUGAAAAAUGUCCGACGACCAUCACGGCGACGGAUUCGUCCAGCAAAUCGGAGAAGGUGACCUCUGCCGCCAGCGCUACGACCCCCGAGAAAUCGAAACGGGCCGGCAGCCCAGCUCCGCAACCUUGGCGACACUCCAAUGAUGUCCAAACUCGAGUCCAGGGCUACACCAAGGAUAACAACAAGGAGAAUCGAUCUACAUCGACGACUAUUUCAUCACCCAGAUCGACUCUACGCCGCCAGGCUAAAGCCAACAACAAUCUCCUUUUGCCCAGAUUUUACUACCCAACGGGACGACCCAUCAGCAAAGAACAGCUGGACGCCUCCCUGCUAAGGCUGGCCGCAACGUUUCAACAGCUGCCCAACUGCCAGGCCAGUCGCGAACAUUUCGGAACCAUCGCCAAGGCUUGUGGUUGUCCUUACUACUGGAAAGCCAUUCUGUUUAUCGCCAGCGGCGGCGAAAAGCUUGGACAUGUUACGCUGGAAACCUUCACCGACUUCUGGGGAAAAAUCAUUAACAACUAUCAUGACGAAGCUUCGCGAUUCGUUCAACUCUUGACCAUGAUCAACCUGAAUGUGAGCGUCGGCAGGACGGACAACAAUCUAAACGGCUCGAUGAAUAACAGCACCGGUUCAGGCCGGUUCUAUCUGAUACCGGAGGAUUUCGUGCCGCUCGUUCAAGACGUGGUCGACACUCACCCAGGAUUGACCUUCCUGAAAGAGGCGGCUGAAUUUCAUUCGCGCUACGUUCACACGGUGAUCGCCAGGAUUUAUUACAAUGUCAACCGAUCCUGGUCAGGGCAGAUCACUCUCACCGAAUUGCGUCAUUCGAAUUUGUUGGCCACGAUUCGCUUGCUGGAGGACGAGGAGGACAUUAACCAAAUCACCGACUAUUUCAGCUACGAGCACUUUUACGUCAUCUACUGCAAGUUCUGGGAGUUGGAUAAAGAUCACGAUCUCUUUAUCGACAAGAAAGAUCUGGCCCGUCACAAUGACCACGCGCUGUCCUCCAAGAUGAUCGAUCGGAUAUUCUCUGGAGCGGUCACCCGCGGCGCCCCUCACAAUAAUCGACUGGCCAAAUUUGGCAACACCAACACCAACAUGAACAAUCAGCCGCGUAUGAGUUACACCGAGUUUGUCUGGUUCCUCAUCUCCGAGGAAGACAAGCGACACCCCACCGCCAUCGAAUACUGGUUCAGGUGUAUGGAUUUGGACGGUGACGGCUACCUUUCGAUGUACGAGCUCGAGUACUUUUACGAGGAACAGCUGCAGCGGAUGGAAUCGCUGGGCAUCGAAACGUUGCCGUUUGAAGAUUGCCUCUGUCAGAUGCUAGACAUGAUUCACCCGGCCGUGCCCGGUAAAGUCUCGCUGAACGACCUCAAGCGCUGCCAGAUGACACCCAUCUUUUUCGACACUUUCUUCAACCUGGAAAAGUACCUGGAUCACGAGCAACGCGACCCGUUCGCCUCGCAACGCGACCCCGAUUCAGAGAACGGCGACGAAAUACUCAAAAUAUCCGACUGGGAUCGCUACGCAGCCGAAGAAUACGAAUUGCUGGUGGCCGAAGAAGGCGGGCCGGAUCACGGCGAUGACAUGCUCCACGAUACAACCGUGUGAGAUACGGGAUGAUGCACACGAUGAUUCGAGUACUUGCUAGUGUUGGUCGUGAUCAGGUCGCGAGAGCGGUUCAUGCGGGAGGAAAUGACCGCCAGCGAGGAGGAUGGCGGCGAUCAUUCUUCUUUGCCCUUAUCGAUGGAACGUGACGUCAUCAUGGCCGAAUCGGAUGUGAACGACGAC
rnacentral:misc_RNA from 1 species